rnacentral:lncRNA from 1 species
GUUACCUUGAGAGAAAGGUGCAUCAGCCUGAUUGGUUGAUUUGGGGACUACCUAAGCCCUUUCCUAGAGACCAAGGUGAGUAGCAAUACUGCUGUCUUGUACUCUUGUUAUUUUAAAAAUGGUUCUUGUGGCUCAGGCUGUCUUCUGUUUUACUCCCUCUCAGAAAAGAGUUAGUCACAGAUGCCACAGAAGAAAGGGAAACCAAUGUAACAUCAACUCUGAGUUAUAGGGUUUGCAUUAUAUAUAUAUAAUGCAUAGACAUUGUCAAUAAAACUAGAUAUUUUGUUUCAUUUCCAUAAACCAAAGCAGAGAAAUAUGUUAACUGUUUCAAGGUUCCAUGGAUAACUGGGGUACUCUUAAUCAUACCUAGAGGUAAAUAUUUUUAAGCGAAUGAUUGUUUUACCAGUAUAAUCAGCAGUUCCAUAUGGUGUUAAAGAAUGUAGUUUCUUGAUAAGUUUAUCAUUUAUUGAAAUUAUUGUAUUGGCAAGUUUUUGUCUUAAUUUGACUAGAAUUAGAGAAAUAAAACUUUAAGUUGAAUAGCAUCCAUUAGGAACUGUUAAUAUAGAAUAAUACAAUGGGAAACUGACUAUUAUAUGAUUCUGGUGGUGGUAAGAAUGCCUAGACUUUGGCUUGAUAUAUGGAAACAUUUGUCUAGGGCCUAGACCAUUUGAAAUAAAAUACUGGGGUAGAUCUAAUUCUUGUUUAUGGCAAUAUCCAGUUCAAAUAAUUUAAGAAGUAUCAUUGAUGAGGGUGAAAGAC